rnacentral:tRNA from 1 species
GAGUCUAUAGCUCAGCUGGAUAGAGCAACGGCCUUCUAAGCCGUGGGUCGGAGGUUCAAAUCCUCUUAGGCUCG